GUGAGGAAUAUUGCGCAAUGGAGGCAACUCUGACGCAGCCAUGCCGCGUGCAGGAAGAAGGCGCUACGCGUUGUAAACUGCUUUUAACCGGGAAGAAACCCCAGGACGUGUCCUGGGUUGACGGUACCGGAGGAAUAAGCACCGGCUAACUUCGUGCCAGCAGCCGCGGUAAUACGAAGGGUGCAAGCGUUAUCCGGAUUCAUUGGGUUUAAAGGGUGCGUAGGCGGAGCGUUAAGUCAGUGGUGAAAUCCUGCAGCUUAACUGUAGACUUGCCAGUGAUACUGGCGCUCUUGAGUGCGCUUGAAGUGGGCGGAAUGUGCCGUGUAGCGGUGAAAUGCUUAGAUAUGACACAGAACACCAAUUGCGAAGGCAGCUCACUAAGGCGAUACUGACGCUGAGGCACGAAAGCGUGGGGAUCGAACAGGAUUAGAAACCCCUGUAGUCC
rnacentral:rRNA from 1 species